rnacentral:rRNA from 1 species
UACAGAGGGUGCGAGCGUUAAUCGGAAUUACUGGGCGUAAAGCGCGCGCAGGCGGUUCCUUAAGUCUGAUGUGAAAGCCCCCGGCUCAACCGGGGAGGGUCAUUGGAAACUGGGGAACUUGAGUACUGAAGAGGAAAGCGGAAUUCCACGUGUAGCGGUGAAAUGCGUAGAUAUCGGGAGGAACACCAGUGGCGAAGGCGGCUUCCUGGCCUGUUCUUGACGCUGAGGCGCGAAAGCUAGGGGAGCAAACGGGG